UACGAGAGGACCGGGUCGAACUGCCCGCUCGUGUGCCGGCUGUGGUGCCAACUGCAUCGCCGGGUAGCGAGGGCAGGCGAAGAUAACCGCUGAAUGCAUCUAAGUGGGAAGCUUCCCCCAAGAUGAAUCCUCCCUGGAGCCUUGAGCUCCCUGAAGGGCCGGGAGAGACCAUCCCGUCAAGAGGUCGCACGUGGACAUGGAGCAAUUCAUUCCAAGCGCAGCGAUCCUCAUCGCCCGUGAGGCUUGAUCUU
rnacentral:rRNA from 1 species